GCAAGAAAGUUGGAAUUAAUGAGUAUAUAAAUGAAAAUCAAUAAAUGAAUGACAAGUAAAUAAAUAAAGAAAAAAGUAGAAAUACAAUGUCAGUUCGAAAAUCUUCUGGACAAGUUAGCUCUUGCAGUCACCGGCUGCAUUCCACAAUUAGGGAACUGGAAUUUAAAUGAUGCGCUAAUUGCAGAGGAAGUUCCCGUGCAUUCGGGCAGAUUGGUGGUAGGGGUAAAGUUACCUGCAGGCGUGCAGUUUGACUAUAAAUGGGUUAUCGUCUGGAGAGAUAGUCUCACCCCAUUCAUAUGGGAAGACAGAAGUAACAGAACCAUCCAUAUAGUAGGGAGCGGCAGAUAUUUGGAUGUUUGGAACAAGCGAGGACUCUUCCAACAUAUUAUCGGAAA